rnacentral:rRNA from 1 species
AAACUUAAAGGAAUUGGCGGGGGAGCACCACAAGGGGUGAAGCUUGCGGUUUAAUUGGAUUCAACGCCGGGAAACUCACCGGGGGCGACGGCAGAAUGAUAGCCAAGCUGACGACUUUGCUUGACGAGCCGAGAGGAGGUGCAUGGCCGUCGUCAGCUCGUACUGUGAAGCGUCCUGUUAAGUCAGGCAACGAGCGAGACCCGUGCCCUUAGUUGCCAUCUUAUCCCUUUUGGGAUGAGGGCACUCUAGGGGGACCGCCAGUGAUAAACUGGAGGAAGGUGCGGGCGACUAUAGGUCAGUAUGCCCCGAAUCCCCCGGGCUACACGCGGACUACAAUGGAUGGUACAAUAGGUUUCGACUCCGAGAGGAGGAGGAAAUCCCCAAAACCAUCCCUAGUUCAGAUUGUGGGUUGCAACUCACCCACAUGAAGCCGGAAUCCCUAGUAAUCGCGUGUCAUCAUCGCGCGGUGAAUAUGUCCCUGCUCCUUGCACACACCGCCCGUCAAGCCACCCGAGUGGAGCCUGGUCGAGGCUAUGUCCUAUGGGCAUAUUCGAGUCUAAGUUCCGCGAGGAGGGUUAAGUCGUAACAAGGUAACC